AUAAAGGUAAGCUAAUAAAGCUAUUGGGUUCAUGCCCCACCUAUAAGGGUUUUAAUCCUUUUCUUUAUA
rnacentral:tRNA from 1 species